rnacentral:tRNA from 2 species
CACUAUGAAGCUAAAUAGCAUUAACCUUUUAAGUUAAAGAUUGAGAACUUAAUUCUCCAUAGUGA